rnacentral:rRNA from 1 species
GUGAAAUUCCGUCGGAAUCUGGGAGGACCAUCUCCUAAGGCUAAAUACUCUCUAGUGACCGAUAGUGAACCAGUACCGUGAGGGAAAGGUGAAAAGCACCCCGGAAGGGGAGUGAAAUAGAACCUGAAACCGUGUGCUUACAAGUAGUCAGAGCCCGUUAAUGGGUGAUGGCGUGCCUUUUGUAGAAUGAACCGGCGAGUUACGAUUUGAUGCAAGGUUAAGCAGUAAAUGUGGAGCCGUAGCGAAAGCGAGUCUGAAUAGGGCGUUUAGUAUUUGGUCGUAGACCCGAAACCAGGUGAUCUACCCUUGGUCAGGUUGAAGUUCAGGUAACACUGAAUGGAGGACCGAACCGACUUACGUUGAAAAGUGAGCGGAUGAACUGAGGGUAGCGGAGAAAUUCCAAUCGAACCUGGAGAUAGCUGGUUCUCUCCGAAAUAGCUUUAGGGCUAGCCUCAAGUGAUGAUUAUUGGAGGUAGAGCACUGUUUGGACGAGGGGCCCCUCUCGGGUUACCGAAUUCAGACAAACUCCGAAUGCCAAUUAAUUUAACUUGGGAGUCAGAACAUGGGUGAUAAGGUCCAUGUUCGAAAGGGAAACAGCCCAGACCACCAGCUAAGGUCCCAAAAUAUAUGUUAAGUGGAAAAGGAUGUGGCGUUGCCCAGACAACUAGGAUGUUGGCUUAGAAGCAGCCAUCAUUUAAAGAGUGCGUAAUAGCUCACUAGUCGAGUGACACUGCGCCGAAAAUGUACCGGGGCUAAACAUAUUACCGAAGCUGUGGAUUGUCCUUUGGACAAUGGUAGGAGAGCGUUCUAAGGGCGUUGAAGCAUGAUCGUAAGGACAUGUGGAGCGCUUAGAAGUGAGAAUGCCGGUGUGAGUAG